rnacentral:rRNA from 1 species
GACGAACGCUGGCGGCGUGCUUAACACAUGCAAGUCGAACGGGUCUGCCCUGUUUUUUGCGGGGUGGGUCAGUGGCGAACGGGUGAGUAACCCGUGAGUAACCUGCCCCUCACUUCUGGAUAACCGCUUGAAAGGGUGGCUAAUACGGGGUGUUCUGGCUGUGCCGCAUGGUGUGGCUGGGAAAGAUUCAUUUUCGUGGUGUUUUGGUGGGGGAUGGGCUCGCGGCCUAUCAGCUUGUUGGUGGGGUGAUGGCCUGCCAAGGCUUUGACGGGUAGCCGGCCUGAGAGGGUGGGCGGUCACACGGGGACUGAGAUACGGCCCAGACUCCUGCGGGAGGCAGCAGUGGGGGGUAUUGCACAAUGGGCGGAAGCCUGAUGCAGCGACGUCGCGUGAGGGAUGGAGGCCUUCGGGUUGUGAACCUCUUUCGCCGGUGAAGAAGGUCCUGCUCUUUGUGGUGGGGUUGACGGUAGCCGGGUUAUGAAGCGCCGGCUAACUACGUG